UACGUAGGGUGCAAGCGUUGUCCGGAAUUAUUGGGCGUAAAGAGCUCGUAGGCGGUCUGUCGCGUCUGCUGUGAAAACUCGGGGCUUAACCCCGGGCCUGCAGUGGGUACGGGCAGACUAGAGUACUGCAGGGGAGACUGGAAUUCCUGGUGUAGCGGUGAAAUGCGCAGAUAUCAGGAGGAACACCGGUGGCGAAGGCGGGUCUCUGGGCCGAAACUGACGCUGAGGAGCGAAAGCGUGGGGAGCGAACAGG
rnacentral:rRNA from 1 species